UACAGAGGUCCCAAGCGUUGUUCGGAUUCACUGGGCGUAAAGGGUGCGUAGGCGGUCGGGCAAGUCUGAUGUGAAAUCUCCAAGCUUAACUUGGAAAUGGCAUCGGAUACUAUUCGGCUCGAGGAAUGGAGGGGAGACUGGAAUACUUGGUGUAGCAGUGAAAUGCGUAGAUAUCAAGUGGAACACCAGUGGCGAAGGCGAGUCUCCGGACAUUUCCUGACGCUGAGGCACGAAAGCCAGGGGAGCAAACGGG
rnacentral:rRNA from 1 species